rnacentral:lncRNA from 1 species
AUGUCCCUGGCAGCAGGCAUGAACGAAAGAAAAUGGCUGUGCACAGAGGGAGAAUUGAUCACUGUCUGUUCUUCAAAGACGCUUCCCUGGCAGUGGUUGGGGCUGUUAGCGCUCACUGCCCUAACAGAGACCUGCUUCAACAGGGUACGAAGAUCCAUCAUUUGGCCCAGCUGUAUUAUGGGAUCAUCUGACUUCAUGGUGUCAUUGAAAGGCUUACGUGUGCUAGUGGAUGAAAAUAUUUCAACGGAGAAGCUGGUAGAAGACUUCAUGAAGGAGAAGAAAAGGAAAAAAAUCAAAGGAUGA